rnacentral:rRNA from 1 species
GACGAACGCUGGCGGCGUGCCUAAUACACGCAAGUCGAGCGGACGAAUCGAAAGCUUGCUUUUGAUUCGUUAGCGGCGGACGGGUGAGUAACACGUGGGCAACCUGCCCUGUAGACGGGGAUAACACCGAGAAAUCGGUGCUAAUACCGGAUAACACGAAAUGUCGCAUGACGUUUCGUUGAAAGACGGCGCAAGCUGUCGCUACAGGAUGGGCCCGCGGCGCAUUAGCUAGUUGGUGAGGUAACGGCUCACCAAGGCGACGAUGCGUAGCCGACCUGAGAGGGUGAUCGGCCACACUGGGACUGAGACACGGCCCAGACUCCUACGGGAGGCAGCAGUAGGGAAUCUUCCGCAAUGGACGAAAGUCUGACGGAGCAACGCCGCGUGAGCGAAGAAGGCCUUCGGGUCGUAAAGCUCUGUUGUUAGGGAAGAACAAGUAACGCAGUAACUGGCGUUACCGUGACGGUACCUAACGAGAAAGCCACGGCUAACUACGUG